GCGCCCGUAGCUCAGCUGGAUAGAGCAUUGGUCUUCGAAACCAAGGGUCACAUGUUCGAAUCAUGUCGGGCGCA
rnacentral:tRNA from 1 species